AGCACAUCAUAUAAGAUUACAAAGCACAGAGUAAUGACAUUGUUAGAAACUCUUCACAGUAGCCCCAGGAGUCACGAAACUGACUUAACUAAGACCCACUGUCUAGUAAGGUGUAAAACCCAGCAGGAACGCAAUACUAGGAAGGUGCAAAGCCAGGAGGCUCAAUAAACGUUAAACAGUGUCUGGGGGAAAGAGCAACGAUCCAGAGCACUGUUUGUGAACUCAACCACUUUUAUUCAGCUCUGACAAGGCGCCAUGGGCUAACUUGCUGGAGAGCCACAUGGAGAGACUGUAUGGAAAAACCACAGGGAGAGGGAGAAGCCUUGAGAUCACAUGGAAGAGAACUGAGGAAUUGAGCUGACAAUGAGAAUUGAGGUCCCAGCCUAUGGUCCCAGUUGUGUGUUCCAGCCAGCAUCCAGUUGUUUGAACUGCCUCUAUACUAGUAAACAAGUAAUUAAUUAAUACAAGUAAAUGAAAACAAGUAAUAAAGUAAUUAAUACAAGUAUUAAGUGAGUGAAAAAAAACAUUUACCCACAGAAUUGUGAGCAAAUAAAGUGGUGUUGUUUUAAGCCUCU
rnacentral:lncRNA from 1 species